ensembl:lncRNA
GAGCUAAAGCCCCUCUAGGGGGCUCCGCUCCACUCAUAUAACCACAGUUACAAUAGGUAACUAACGUUUUGUGCUGUGUUGCUACUGUACUGGAUUUAAGGCGAUUAUGGUUUCUAAUUCUCUGAACUGCUGUACUUUUUAUGUUUGAGGAAAAUUCUGUGUUCACUUGAAUCACAACACUCGGUGAAUACAUUUUAUUUUUGACAAUUUCACUGUUCCACAUUUGGCUGAUAAUGUUCCCCCCACAGCAUAGCUACUGUAUAUUCCUAACGUUAACAAUCCGGUUUUGUUCAUGUUUUUUUGCAGAUAACCGGUUAUGCUCUGGCCAAGGUAUCUUCACCCAAGAGACCUACUGUUGGUCAAUCGUUUUGGUUUUAAAGAAGUUGCAUCGAUUCCAGAAAACCAGGAAAAUGUUGAGCCAUCUGUAGACUUCAGAGCUGAACCUGGUUUCUCCCCAGUAAUCCAGACUCCACUUCACAGAGCCAAGAGUUUGAGUACAAGUGAUAGAUAUUAUUUGUGACGUUUUUUGUCUUGGAAACUAUUGCUUCUAUUUAAGAUUAGGAAUUUUAUCCAUAAUCUGUUUUUCAUUAGGGAACAUGACUUUCUGGAUAAAAGGUGUCGAGGUGUGUUGUACAUAUCAUUAGCUUUGCACAGUUCAAUUAUUGUUUCAUUACUGAAUAUGCAAUCUCUGCAGUGAAAUUAAAGCUGUUAUGUUUGUUCCCCCAGCUCGUCAAGUACUAAGCUUUACACCACCAGCAGCAAAUCUACCCUGGAAGCAUAUGGGUGAAAACGCUGGAGGAGAAAGUCAUCGCUUUGUUAUUGGCCCUUGGACGCCCCUGGCAUCUCGUGUACAGCACAAAGUUUUCAGCUAUGAAGAUUUCCAGUGACUCCAGAAUGAAAACCAAGCUCUGAGGGAGGAGAACCAAGCCCUGAAGGAAUGCAAUGCACAAGCAGCUUCGGGUUGACAGCGGCUCACUUCAAGAGCAGGUGAAGCAAGUAGGGACAAUGUUGAAGACGUUUGCUCUCACUGGGCAAUCAGGUGCGUUACCUGAAAGGAGCAUCUGACCGUGAAGGGAGAAAAAGCCGCACAGCUGAGAAGGACCUACAACUGACCCCUUAAACCUAGGCUGACUACUGAAACCCCAGCAUCACUGACAACUGGAACACUUUCUUUAUCCUGCAGUCAGUAACAUCAAGAAGCCAGAAGUGCCAGACUACACUCACCAAAUCCACCCUGUUUUUUUUGUGUAUUUUAACUUUAGUAUUGGCUUAUUUUAUUCAUUCUUAACGAUUCUAUUAGUUAUUAAAUCCUAUUUCAUACCUGUUACUUGAUAUUGCACAUUAACUAGUACCAAAAUUCUGCUUUCAUUCCAUCACAGUGCUUAACUGUUAUUCUACUGUUAAAUAUAGCUUGUAAAUCCUUGUGCCACAGGUCAGCAAUGCCAUUAUUACGGUCUAUUCUACUCUAGAGCUUUACUCUAAAUUAUUACCACUUUUCCUAUUGUUAGAAAUGGCUUGAACAUGUGAUGUUAUACCUUGAUUUAUUUGGUAUCCUGCACAUUCUUUGGUACCAAAUAUCCUCAUUACUUGUUUAUGUUUACUGGUAAUUAUUUUCAUCCCAGAGCUGACCUCUUUAUAUUAUUAACAAUUAUUGUGUUAGUGUUAUAAUUUGCUUGUAUGGCUGUUUUCUUUUACCAAA